rnacentral:tRNA from 1 species
GGAGGGGUUCCCGAGUGGUCAAAGGGAGCAGACUGUAAAUCUGCCGCCUGCCGGCUUCGAAGGUUCGAAUCCUUCCCCCUCCA